rnacentral:sRNA from 1 species
AGUUCUCUUCUUCCUAGUCGUCCA